AUUGAACGCUGGCGGCAGGCCUAACACAUGCAAGUCGAACGAGUGGCGGACGGGUGAGUAAUGUCUGGGAAACUGCCUGAUCGAGGGGGAUAACUACUGGAAACGGUAGCUAAUACCGCAUCCUAUCGGAUGUGCCCAGAUGGGAUUAGCUAGUAGGUGGGGUAAAGGCUCACCUAGGCGACGAUCCCUAGCUGGGCUGAGAGGAUGACCAGACACACUGGAACUGAGACACGGCCCAGACUCCGACGGGAGGCAGCAGUGGGGAAUAGUGCACAAUGGGCGCAGGCAGGAUGCAGCCAUGCCGAGUGGAGGGAGAAGGCCUUCUGGUUGGAAAGUACUUUCAGCGGGGAGGCGUUACCCGAAGAAGAAGCACCGGCUAACUCCGUGCCAGCAGCCGCGGUAAUUC
rnacentral:rRNA from 1 species